AUAUCAAGCUGAAAUAUCCAUUCUCAUAUGAUCACUGAAGUUAAGCAAUAUUGAGCCUGGUCAAUAUUUUGUUGGGUGACUGCUUGGGAAUAUCAGGUGCUGUAAG